CCUACACAUGCAAGUCGAGCGCACCUUUCGGGUGAGCGGCGGACGGGUUUAGUAACGCCCCGUAAACGUACCCUUUUCUACGGAAUAGCCUUUGGAAACCAAGUAGUAAUACCGUAUACGCCCUUUGGGGGAAAGAUUUAUCGGAGAAGGAUCGGCCCGCGUUAGAUUAGAUAGUUGGUGGGGUAACGGCCUACCAAGUCUACGAUCUAUAGCUGGUUUUAGAGGAUGAUCAGCAACACUGGGACUGAGACACGGCCCAGACUCCUACGGGAGGCAGCAGUGGGGAAUCUUAGACAAUGGGCGCAAGCCUGAUCUAGCCAUGCCGCGUGAGUGAUGAAGGCCUUAGGGUCGUAAAGCUCUUUCGCCUGUGAUGAUAAUGACAGUAGCAGGUAAAGAAACCCCGGCUAACUCCGUGCCAGCAGCCGCGGUAAUACGGAGGGGGUUAGCGUUGUUCGGAAUUACUGGGCGUAAAGCGCACGUAGGCGGAUUGGAAAGUUGGGGGUGAAAUCCCGGGGCUCAACCCCGGAACUGCCUCCAAAACUAUCAGUCUAGAGUUCGAGAGAGGUGAGUGGAAUUCCAAGUGUAGAGGUGAAAUUCGUAG
rnacentral:rRNA from 1 species